UUAUUAAGGGCAAUUGUUACAAAAGAAUGGACAAAAAGAGUAAUUAUAAAAAGGUCAAUCGUUAGGAUUUCCCUUUGUGAUUUUUUUUUUUCCUUCUGGAGUUCUUUCAAUCUGCAAUAAACGGAUCGGCUGAGUCAAGGAACCGCCUUCCCGUUCAGACCUUUGGCUUGCUGUGUUUGCCAUCCAUGUCGAAUGCUUUGUCUUAACAGGCUUGCGGAUCAGGAUUAUUGAAGUUUACUGAUUCCAAGUCCUUGGAGAUUGAUCUGAAUCGUGAACAAGUUGAGCAAAUGGCUGGCAGUAAAAGAGGUAAAUCUGCAACUGGAAACACCUCAUGAUCGGUUGCCUUUGCCCAGGGUCAUUAUUUUGGCUAGAUACCAUGCUGCCACAUAGAAAUAAACAAGUCUUCUCAUUGUCCUAUUUAAAUUUAGAUUUUUUUGGAGAAAAAUCUUAGCUCGCCAUUUCUAUCAGAAACCUUUUAUUUGAUGUUAAA